UAUUAAAAUUUUCAUUAAUUUCUACUAUUAAAAACUAGCAUGGCUAACAAAAUAACCAAAUAGUGGCAUGUGUAACUAAUGAUAAUAUACAGAGACCGUUUUUUAACAGUAAAAAUAAAUAAUUUAAUC
rnacentral:pre_miRNA from 1 species